GACCGGGUAGUCUAGCUUGGUAUGAUACAUGCUUGGGGUGCAUGUGAUCCGGGGUUCAAUUCCCCGCUCGGUCACCA
rnacentral:tRNA from 1 species